UACGUAGGGGGCAAGCGUUGUCCGGAAUCAUUGGGCGUAAAGAGCGUGUAGGCGGCCCGAUAAGUCCGCCGUGAAAGUCCAGGGCUCAACCCUGGAAUGCCGGUGGAAACUGUCGGGCUGGAGUCCGGAAGAGGCGAGUGGAAUUCCUGGUGUAGCGGUGAAAUGCGCAGAUAUCAGGAGGAACGCCAAUGGCGAAGGCAGCUCGCUGGGACGGUACUGACGCUGAGACGCGAAAGCGUGGGGAGCAAACGGG
rnacentral:rRNA from 1 species